rfam:Puccinia sorghi strain RO10H11247 Scaffold_12, whole genome shotgun sequence.
GGUCGAUUAGCUUAGUCGGUAGAGCGUGGUACUAAUAUCUUCAGCUCAUCGGAAGCCUGGAUAUACAUGCCAAGGUCAUGGGUUCGAUCCCCAUAUUGACCA